rnacentral:piRNA from 1 species
UGGAAGCACCUUGAGUUCUUGAGAGCAGC